AUUGAACGCUGGCGGCAGGCCUAACACAUGCAAGUCGAACGAGUGCCGGCCGGGUGAGUAAUGUCUGGGAAACUGCCUGAGGGAGGGGGUUAACUCCUGGAAACGGUAGCUAAUACCGCAUACCAUCAGAUGUGCCCAGUUGGGAUUGGGGUGUUGGGGGGGUACGGGCUCACCAAGGCGACGAUCCCUAGCUGGGCUGAGAGGAUGACCAGCCACACUGGAACUGAGACACGGUCCAGAAUCCUACGGGAGGCAGCAGUGGGGAAUAUUGCACAAUGGGCGCAAGCCUGAUGCAGCCAUGCCGCGUGUAUGAAGAAGGCCUUCGGGUUGUAAAGUACUUUCAGCGGGGAGGCGUUACCCGCAGAAGAAGCACCGGCUAACUCCGUGCCAGCAGCCGCGGUAAUAC
rnacentral:rRNA from 1 species